UACGGGGGGGGCAAGCGUUGUUCGGAAUUACUGGGCGUAAAGGGCUCGUAGGCGGCCAACUAAGUCAGUGGUGAAAUCCCCGUGCUUAACAUGGGAACUGCCGUUGAUACUAUCUGUCUUGAAUACCGUGGAGAUGAGCGGAAUAUGUCAUGUAGCGGUGAAAUGCUUAGAUAUGACAUAGAACACCAAUUGCGAAGGCAGCUCGUUACACGAAUAUUGACUCUGAGGCUCGAAAGCGUGGGGAUCAAACAGG
rnacentral:rRNA from 1 species